GUGGGGAAUAUUGCGCAAUGGCCGAAAGGCUGACGCAGCGACGCCGCGUGGGGGAUGAAGCAUUUCGGUGUGUAAACCCCUGUUGCCCGGGACGAACAAGCAGAUUUUUCUGCUCUGACGGUACCGGGUGAGGAAGCACCGGCUAACUCCGUGCCAGCAGCCGCGGUAAUACGGAGGGUGCGAGCGUUGUCCGGAAUCACUGGGCGUAAAGGGCGCGUAGGCGGUCUGCUAAGCGUGCGGUGAAAGCCCGGGGCUCAACCCCGGGUCUGCCGUGCGAACUGGUGGACUAGAGCACUGUAGAGGCAGGUGGAAUUCCGGGUGUAGCGGUGGAAUGCGUAGAGAUCCGGAAGAACACCGGUGGCGAAGGCGGCCUGCUGGGCAGUAGCUGACGCUGAGGCGCGACAGCGUGGGGAGCAAACA
rnacentral:rRNA from 1 species